GGUGCUGUUAGUCCCAUUGGGUGCCAUUGGGUGCCAUUGGGUGCCGUUGGGUGCCGUUGGGUGCUAUUGGGUGCCGUUGGGUGCUGUUAGUCCCAUUGGGUGCUAUUGGGUGCCGUUGGGUGCUGCUGGGUGCCGUUGGGUGCUGUUAGUCCCAUUGGGUGCCGUUGGGUGCUGUUAGUCCCACUGGGUGCUAUUGGGUGCCGUUGGGUGCUGUUGGGUGUCGUUGGGUGCUGUUGGGUGCCGUUGGGUGUCGUUGGGUGCUGUUGGUCCCAUUGGGUGCCGUUGGGCACCAUUGGGUGCCAGUGGGUGUUGUUGGGUGCCGUUGGGUGCCAUUGGGUGCUGUUGCUCCCAUUGGGUGCCGUUGGGUGCUGUUGGGUGCCAUUGGAUGCUGUUCGGUGACGUUGGUUGCUGUUGGGGGCUGUUGUUCCCAUUGGGUGCCGUUGGGUGUCAUUGGGUGCUGUUGGUCCUAUUGGGUGCCACUGGGUGCCAUUGGGUGCCAUUGGGUGCCAAUGGUUGAUCAUUGGGUGCCAUUGGGUGCCAUUCGUUGA
rnacentral:lncRNA from 1 species